AAUAUUGGACAAUGGGGGAAACCCUGAUCCAGCCAUGCCGCGUGUGUGAAGAAGGUCUUCGGAUUGUAAAGCACUUUAAGUUGGGAGGAAGGGUUGUUGGCUAAUAUCCAGCAAUUUUGACGUUACCGACAGAAUAAGCACCGGCUAACUCUGUGCCAGCAGCCGCGGUAAUACAGAGGGUGCAAGCGUUAAUCGGAAUUACUGGGCGUAAAGGCGGGGAAGGGGGUCAAGUAAGAUGGGGGUGAAAUCCCCGGGUUUAACCUGGGAACUGCUUUAAUACUGCUGAGCUAGAGUACGGUAGAGGGUAGUGGAAUUUCCUGUGUAGCGGUGAAAUGCGUAGAUAUAGGAAGGAACACCAGUGGCGAAGGCGACUACCUGGACUGAUACUGACACUGAGGUGCGAAAGCGUGGGGAGCAAGC
rnacentral:rRNA from 1 species